AGCGUAGACGGAUGGACAAGUCUGAUGUGAAAGGCUGGGGCUCAACCCCGGGACUGCAUUGGAAACUGCCCGUCUUGAGUGCCGGAGAGGUAAGCGGAAUUCCUAGUGUAGCGGUGAAAUGCAUAGAUAUUAGGAGGAACACCAGUGGCGAAGGCGGCUUACUGGACGGUAACUGACGUUGAGGCUCGAAAGCGUGGGAAGCAAACAG
rnacentral:rRNA from 1 species